rnacentral:rRNA from 1 species
CGUAGGGUGCGAGCGUUAAUCGGAAUUACUGGGCGUAAAGCGUGCGCAGGCGGUGAUGUAAGACAGGUGUGAAAUCCCCGGGCUUAACCUGGGAACUGCAUUUGUGACUGCAUCGCUGGAGUGCGGCAGAGGGGGAUGGAAUUCCGCGUGUAGCAGUGAAAUGCGUAGAUAUGCGGAGGAACACCGAUGGCGAAGGCAAUCCCCUGGGCCUGCACUGACGCUCAUGCACGAAAGCGUGGGGAGCAAACAGGAUUAGAUACCCUGGUAGUCCACGCCCUAAAUGAUGUCAACUGGUUGUUGGGUCUUCACUGACUCAGUAACGAAGCUAACGCGUGAAGUUGACCGCCUGGGGAGUACGGCCGCAAGGUUG